rnacentral:tRNA from 1 species
GGCCUGUUACCUCAGCUGGUUAGAGCGUGGUGCUAAUAACGCCAAGGUCAUGGGAUCGAUCCCCACAUGGGCCA